CAGAACUUCGAACGCUACUGACAGUCACUGAAUCUGCUGCCCGUUGAGAAACUCUACCAAACAAACCUAUACAAGAUGCCAGGCCCUUCCUGCGACAAGUGCAAAGAUACCUGCCAAGAUUGUAACUGCGGUGAUGACUGCAAGUGCUGUAGCGACUCAUGCGGAGAAAAGUGCGCUUGUAAGACUGGUGGACAAUGUAAUUGCAAGCCAUGCGCUUGUAACUGAGGCCUUAAGUCGUAAGGAAUCGUCAUCACCACCGGAUAUGCCGCUAUUCGCCUAGGCUACAGUCCAAUUUAAGUAGAGUCAAAGUACUGCUUUUUCAUCCAAGAGAAAAAUCGCCGAGAAAUGCUGACUGACCAUAACUCCCUUUCUUGUAUCAUGGUAAUAUAAACUGCAUUGUUAACCGUUCUAACUUCCAUGGCAAGACUAACCGUACUUUUAUUAGAUGAACACUAUUCAUUACUAACAACGAUGUACCGAAGAAUGUAAUAAAUACCGAGACGAAA